CUAGGGCACUGUAUUACCAGAACAGGGAAUUCGCUGGUGUUGGAAUUUCCUUCUCUCUGUAAUCACUAGCUGUUAGACUGUUGCAAAAGACUUCUUCGAGGUGGUUACUCAAGAACUACAAUGAUAACUCAAGUUCAAGGAUUCCAGCAACAUUUUAUAGUAACUUUUUGUUCCUCCCAAGCAACACCUGAUACUUAUAUCCUUUGUAUUUUUCAAAACAGCUGUGGAUAGUAUUGAACAAUAAUUAGCUGUUGGGAAUCCUUGUACUGAAAGUCUUUUCUGUCAUUAAUAUUUGAAAGUUUGCAGGUGUUCCCAUGGGCAGAAAUUUUAACUCAAAGAAAAACAGCUUUCUCCCUGGUUUUUUUUUGGGUUGGUUUAUUUGUUGUUUGUUUGUUUUGAGGUGGUUGUUGUUUUGCUUUGUUUGAGAUUUUUUGGUGGGGGGGUUUUGUGGUUUUUGUUUUGUUUUUUGUUUCUUAGGGGUUGGUUUGUUUGGGGCUUUUGGGGUUUUUUGCUGUUAAUGAUUAAGUGCUGCCAAGUAAAUGUUUCUAGCAGGCUGCUUGUGGAUCCAUCACAUAUUUAAGUACCUCUGCUCUUCCCAGCUCACUCCUUAUUUUUGUGAUCUUUGUUUUCUCCCUUUGGUUGUAUUCGCUUAUUUGUUCUGUUAAUCUGAAAUCUUUAAGGGCCUCCAUCCUCUGAUCCCCCUGUUGUUUGGACUGUAAAGAAAAAUGGGAAAAGAAGCUAUCCCUGUACUAAAAUAACUGUCUGCGUAUUUAAGGCAAGCAAAGCAGUCCACCCUGCACGGGUGUCUCACCAUCUCCAACACCAAGGUGAGAGACUUGGAAGCCGUUGGCCAGGGCAGUGCCACUGGAGAGAGGAGCGGGUGCCUUGUGGGACACAGACAGAGAUCUCUGCAGCCAGGUCAGGAACUUGGGGUUCAUUGCAGAGGGCCUGGGGCAGGGCCCUGCUGGGAGCUGCAGCCACAGCUCAGAGCAGGCUGAGAGAGGAGAGGGGGAGAGAGGGUGAAGAGCAAGAGGGUAAGAGAGCGAGGUUCCCAUUACAAUACAAUAAAUCUUCUGUGUUGAAUAUUCUAAUUCUCACUAACCAAUCUAGUACAAGAUACAAAUCCUAUAGCAUUUCCAUACAGCCUAUAAGAAUCAUUACAUCACCAUACUGUGUUACUUUUUAAACCCUAUAAACUACUCUUUGGACCCUUUCUGCUACUCUGACCCUUGGGCCUGUCUGCAAGCAGAGGGUGUUUUUCCAUCAAAAGGGGAUUGAUUACCUUCAGCCAGCCACACCAUUGUUUUCCAUUUGUUCAGUAACUGAGGGAUCUCAAAGCUUGCUUUCAUUUCAAUCUCACGUAUAGUUUCCAUAUUCUCAACAUCUUUUGCCAGACAAUCAUAUUUAUAAGGCUUUCCUGUUUCAUCUUCCCCAACAGUGUGUCACGUGUGUUAAAUCCCUUCUCGUUUCCUCAGAGCAAGCACAUGGGUACAGAGCACCCUCAACAGCAAACCUUCCUGUAAAACCUGUGCCCUGGAUUCUGAACUCUAUGACAGGGCCAGUCACCCAAAGUUCUCUCCCAGAAAGACUAGAAGAUUAGCAGUAUAGUAUACACUAAUACUAAGAUUAUAAACUUGGCAACCUGUCUGUUGUGAUUUUGAAAUCACAAUCAAAGUAAUGCAGGACUAGUGUGGGAUUUCAUACUCAUCAGUUUUUCAUUACAAGGUGCUGUUUCUGUACCUUUGCUGCCACACAGAAGUGUUUGUUGCUAUUAUUUUAAUCGAGCAUAAAUUUAGAAAGAUGACAGAAAUAAGUACCAAGAUAAAGCAAUGUGUUGUUCCAGUUCCCCAGAAUGGAGCUUUUGGAUGAGCUUAGGUUCUCCUUUGCUUGUAAAGUGUAGUAGGUGUCUGAAUAUCUCCCCUGUAUAGGGUAAUCUACACUUGGUUUCAGGAAAGGGUAGUCCAUUACAGGGCAUACCGAAUUAUUGAAGCUUUUCUUCUGAGCAAGGUCAGAAGAAAGGAAAAAAUCUGUAGGGUUUUGCAGGGCUGCAAGAAAAUUUAAUUCUGACUAAAAUGACAGCUUUAACUCUUUUUUAUAGGCUCAUCUUACUGUAAAUUGGCUUUUGCUUUCCAAGAGAAAACUGCUGUGCUCUUAUACUUAAUGUAUACAAUCAUGAAAUACUCUGAGGUAAUAAGGUUUCCCUUCCCUGUUUUUAGCUGCUGGCUGAAGUUAUGGGAGCACAGAUCUCCCCUGGAAUAAAAACGUUGUGGGGAUGACUGUUGGCA
rnacentral:lncRNA from 1 species